CAAGGCGACGAUCCCUAGCUGGUCUGAGAGGAUGACCAGCCACACUGGAACUGAGACACGGUCCAGACUCCUACGGGAGGCAGCAGUGGGGAAUAUUGCACAAUGGGCGCAAGCCUGAUGCAGCCAUGCCGCGUGUAUGAAGAAGGCCUUCGGGUUGUAAAGUACUUUCAGCGGGGAGGAAGGUGUUGUGGUUAAUAACCGCAGCAAUUGACGUUACCCGCAGAAGAAGCACCGGCUAACUCCGUGCCAGCAGCCGCGGUAAUACGGAGGGUGCAAGCGUUAAUCGGAAUUACUGGGCGUAAAGCGCACGCAGGCGGUCUGUCAAGUCGGAUGUGAAAUCCCCGGGCUCAACCUGGGAACUGCAUUCGAAACUGGCAGGCUUGAGUCUUGUAGAGGGGGGUAGAAUUCCAGGUGUAGCGGUGAAAUGCGUAGAGAUCUGGAGGAAUACCGGUGGCGAAGGCGGCCCCCUGGACAAAGACUGACGCUCAGGUGCGAAAGC
rnacentral:rRNA from 1 species